UACGGAGGGAGCUAGCGUUAUUCGGAAUUACUGGGCGUAAAGCGCACGUAGGCGGCUUUGUACGUUAGAGGUGAAAGCCUGGAGCUCAACUCCAGAAUUGCCUUUAAGACUGCAUCGCUUGAAUCCAGGAGAGGUGAGUGGAAUUCCGAGUGUAGAGGUGAAAUUCGUAGAUAUUCGGAAGAACACCAGUGGCGAAGGCGGCUCACUGGACUGGUAUUGACGCUGAGGUGCGAAAGCGUGGGGAGCAAACAGG
rnacentral:rRNA from 1 species